rnacentral:rRNA from 1 species
UAAGGAAUAUUGGGCAAUGGGCGAAAGCCUGACCCAGCCAUGCCGCGUGCAGGAUGACGGCCCUAUGGGUUGUAAACUGCUUUUAUACGGGAAAAAACCUUCGGUCGUGAACCGGAGCUGAUGGUACCGUAAGAAUAAGGAUCGGCUAACUCCGUGCCAGCAGCCGCGGUAAUACGGAGGAUCCGAGCGUUAUCCGGAUUUAUUGGGUUUAAAGGGUGCGUAGGCGGAAUGGUAAGUCAGUGGUGAAAUCCUUCAGCUUAACUGAAGAACUGCCAUUGAUACUGCCAAUCUUGAGUACGGUUGAAGUGGGCGGAAUGUAGCAUGUAGCGGUGAAAUGCUUAGAUAUGCUACAGAACACCGAUUGCGAAGGCAGCUCACUAAGCCGCAACUGACGCUGAGGCACGAAAGCGUGGGGAGCAAACAGG